AUGGCGGACGAGGAGUUAACUGAUAUGAUGGUAGACAUGGAGUUUGGAGAACUGAUGAAAGACUGGAUAGAAGAUUGGUCAGAUGAUGAAAAUUCAGAUCUUGGAAAUCAGUCAGAGAAUGGGAACGAAUGGGAAGAUUUGAAUAUGGAUGAGCAUGAUGAUGGUCAGGAAAACAAUUCGGAGCUCUCAAAUGAAGAUUACAUUAGUCAGUUCAUUUUCGAAUGUCAUAAUGUGUACGACUAUUACGGUGAAUCUGACGCGGAGACAGGCCUUAAUGAUGAAUCAUCAAAUGCACCUGAUUCUGGGGAUUCGCAGUCGUCGGUCACCAUCAGUGAGGUGACAGAAGAUGGUGGGGUAAUGAAUGUCCAAGAUACUGCCAGUGCAGAUGAUAAGAGGGAUAUGUUCAUGCAGAUAAUGGACAUGACUUUUAUGACUCACGAUGCUGCGUAUGAUUUCAACAGCUAUGCUAGAGCUAAUGGUUUCAGCAUUAGGAAGAAUAAGGUCAGACAAGGGAAACGUGACAGCAAGUUGCUAACCGAGGAAGGGCACAGCCGUCGGCUCAGAGCCGAGACACGCUGCUUUUGCGAAGCACACCUGACUGUCAAGCUUGACCAAAAGCGUGGGGUUUGGUAUGUUGCAAGUUUUGAGGACAAGCAUAGCCAUAUGUUGGCAGGACUGGACGAGGUACCUUUUCUUUGGUCCCACAGAAAAAUCAAAGAGUUUCAGAAGCAUGAGAUAAUGUCCAUGGGAGCUACAGGGAUUAGAAUUCACGACAUGAUGGAUUCCCUCAUCAGCAAGCAUGUAUGGUAUGGCGGUGUUGGUUUUACCAGGCGUGAAAUAUACAACCUUUGUGCCAGGGAGAAGAGGAAGUUGCUUUCAAAAGGUGAUGCUGCCACAUCCAUAGGCAUCAUGGCCAGUAGGAAACAGAGGCUGCUGCAGACUUUUUUGAGGUCCAUGUGUCAAAAGAUGCCGAAGAGUGUAAUCACAGACGCCGACGCUGCGAUGAUCAAGGCAAUUCGCGAAGUCUUGCCAGACGUGUGGCACCGUAUAUGUACGUGGCAUAUAGAAAAAAAUAUGAAGAUUCACCUCAGUCCCAAGUCCUUGAAGGAGUUCCGAACCCUUCUAUACUAUAGCACGUCCACGGCCACAUUUAAGGAGAGAUGGCACGCGUUUACCAAAAGAUGGCAGUCGGAAAAAAUAGUAACAUGGUUGAGACGGAUGUAUAAGAAGAGGAGACUGUGGGCCGCGGCUUAUCUAACAGAGGGGUUUUGGCUUGGCAUGAAAAGCAACCAGCGGAGUGAAAGCCUAAACUCAUGCCUUCACCUCCACCUAGACGGUGAAAUGACCCUGGUGGAUAUGAUUUUGCAUUAUGAGAAUGUCAUUGUAUGUAUCCGUGAAAACGAGGCGUGA
rnacentral:rRNA from 1 species